GUCAGACUUGUCAGAGUGCCAAACGCCGUUUUACAGCUCGACGGAGCAGGAGGACAACAGGCAGGGGGAGACACCUCCUAAUGAACACGUGGUGAUCAGAGAUCUGACCAUAACAUACCAGCAGUGUUACUGGUUUAUCUCUCAGACUGGAGAAGAUGAGUGG